UUCAUUUCCUCAUUGACAAAUCUUACCUGCGGUGCACCUCAAGGCUCGAUUCUGGGCCCCAUUCUUUUCUGUGUUUACACGCUUCCCUUGGUCACAUAAUUAAUAGACGUAAUAUAUUGUUUCAUUUUUUUGCAGAUGGUACACAAUUUUAUCUUCCCGUCAACCCCACUUCGGUUGACCUAAAAGGCUGCUUUGAUGAUAUUAAGUUUUGGAUGUCGUGCAACUUUCUUUCAGCUUAAUUGACGAGAGACUAUAUUGGCCACACCCAGCCUGACAGUCAAAAUUAAUGGGCAACUUGACUUCAUGCCAACAAAUACCAAGCCAUCUGCCGGACAUUUGGCAGUAUGUUUUUAUUCUAACCUGAACUUUAUUCAGAACAGGUUAUUCAUUAGUCUUGUUUUUAUCAGUUUAUCUCUUAAACCAAAUCUGUCUGCCGCUGACUUUGAGAAAGUUAUUCAUGUCUUCAGAUUAUUGUGACUCUCUUAUAUUCAGCACAUCGUAAAAAAAAUGCCCUAAAUAAAAUGCAAUUGUUUUAUAUCUCUACAUACAAAGACACACACACUUGAGUUAGCAGAAAAACUCUUCUCACAGUUCCUGAAUCUAGAUUUGUAACCAAGGGUCUCCUGGGCCGUAUUAUAUUAGACUUUAUUUAUUAUUCUCUCUCAUGUACCUGGACUUUUUUUUUUUAACUUUAUAACGUUAUCACCGUCUGUUGUGUCCUCUGCCAAAGCACUUAGUAAAUAUGUCGAGAUAAGUGCAAAUACAAAUACAGGUGCUAAGUGGUUUUCCUUGUCCAGAAGCUUACAACAUUUUCCCAAGUGGCCGAAAGGAGUCACGCAGAGUAGCUCCUGAAAAGAGUGUAAAUGUAGAUUUUCUUUCACCUAACAAGGGUGUUUUUACCCCCAGUUUUAUUUUGCAUGUCAUUCAUUUGGAAAAAUGAAAAAAAACUUGAUGUUAGCUGUUUUUAAAAACAUGUUUUUGAGUCCUCCGCUCCGGCAGGUGGCGGUAAACCGUCCAGCGGUUACCAGUGAAACGCUCACUGAGCAUGCGCACAGACUUUACCCGGAAGUGUAGCUAGUAAACAACCGACCACGACGCCUCGGGGGGGAGCGAAGUUCUCCUGUUUUUUUUGAUUUUCAGACCGCCGCUAAAAUGUCUAAAAUCGAGAUGCUGAGGGUGCUGAUCAACCAGCGGCUCACCGCGGCCGCAGAGGAGAUCUUCGGGGUGUUCGGGAGAACCAUAGCCGAGUACGAGGAGGAGAUCUCCCGCUCCAAGCUGGAGAUCGACCGCCAGCGCCGGCUGCUGGAUCUCUCCAGGCAGCCGCAGAUAUCUCUGCAGGUCAGCAGCUCAGCUUCUGGGAAACAGGGCUGUCUGUAUCUGUAGCCUGUUCAGUGUGAAAGUGGCGCUGCUGCUCGGAUCUAUGGAGCGAUUUAAAGAACCAUACAGGUACUUUUUUUGCUUUUGAGCCAAUUACAUACAAGUUGCCUUUUUUUAGUUAUUUGAUACCUGAGUUUCUGUACCGAAACCAAAGUGAUACUUCAGUUGAUAUCUUAGUUUGAGAAAUAUCAGAAAACCCUAUUCAUUCAACAAAAACAGCAGAGAAUCUCAAAUGUUAAAUGUUGUCUUAACACAAGCAGUCGUAGAAGAACUGUCUAAAUAAAAUACAAUUUCGGUUGCUACCAAAAAAGUACUGCAGUUUGAUACCCGGCCAUCCCGUUCUCCAAAACAGACCAUGAGUGUGUAGGUUUGUUAAACAAUAUUAUCUACACUAGGGCUGCAACCAGUUGUUUAAAUUUUUCCAUUAAUUGAUUAAUCAUUUAGUCAGUGAAAUGUCAGAAAAUUGUGAAACAUGCCCAUCGCAUAUUGAAAUGCUUUUUUUGUCCGACCAACAGUCCAAACCCCAAAACAUAUUCAGUUUACAGUAAAAUAAAACAGAGAAAAGCAGCAAAUUUGUACAUUGGAGAAGCUGGAACGACUUAAAAAUGACUUACACAAUGAAUCUACCAUCAAAAUUGCUGGUGAUUAAUUUUCUGUCAGUUGACUAAUCAUUUCAGUACUAAUCUUAAUUCAAGGUCCACUAGUCUCAAUUUAAUUUAAAGUUUUUUUUUUUAAAUUUUCAAGAAACAAUCAUAAAUUUUCUGACUUCCACGUCUAUGUAUUGUUUGUCUUUUCGAUUUUCCAUUUCCAACAACAUAUUUCACCUGCUGACUGUGACUUCUCUGAAAUUGGCGGGUCCUGGAACGCACCAGCAAGGACGAAAUGGCCACUGCUCUAACUGUCUGUAUGCAGCAAGUUUUAAGUCUCUGCAUGUUGACGUCCAUAGAAAAGAACAGAAGGAAUCUAAAAAGUACCUUGUUUUGAAGAAUUGGUCAGCAGUAAUGUUCUGUAGACACUUGGAAACCAUCAAAUCUGCCACAGAGAACAGAAGAUCAGAUUUGCUGUUCUCAUGUGAACACGGCCAUUAAUUUAGACUUGACCGAGACUAGACUAGACUAGACUUCUUCCCAGUGACCAGAACUACACUAAUCUCAACUCUCAAACAGUUCCAGUCAGACGAGAUUCGUGUUCGAGAUGAAGGAGGAUGAUGUAACCUCUUCAAAUGUGAGCCGUGACACAGAUCCCCCUUUACAUGAAGUAGGAAUCAAUAUCAAACUGCUGCUUUGUCGUCUGUUAUUAAAUCUGAACAAAACGAUCUCUCAGUCUGGUUUGGAAACGCCUGAUGCAGCGUGACUUUUACAGCACCCCUUAUUCAGCAGGUGCUUCACAUCCCAGAUUUCGCCCCCCCACCACCACCACCACCACCGUCUGGUGCUGGCGGACUCAAAGUUGCAUCAUUUGGUGCAGAGCCUGCUCGCCCCGUCUCCAGCAGACAGGGAUACCUCACUAGCACUCUGCUGCAGCAUCUCCGUGGCUUCAUUAUUGCUUAAUCUGUGCUGCGAGUGUGUGUCCGGCGAGCAGAGCGAGUCAGAUAAAACUAAAAUCUGGGCAGCAGCUGGGAACCAAACAGACGCUUAAAAACUCACUGAAAAAAGUUUGUUUAAUAACUGACAUCAACCGGCUGCUGUUUACUGGUUUUUGUCUUUCAAGCCUUUACCCCCUAACUAAUGUUUCUGUUUCGACAUUUCAGAAAUCUCCCGGCAGGAUCUGAAGAGGUCAGUGUUCAUAUGAUUUACACAUAGCAGCGGUUAACUUUCCUCAAGGAUCAGACGCCGUUUCGUGUGUCACAGCCUGUGAUUAGACAGCAAGUGUUCUUUGGCGUCAACGUUCAGUCUUUGGAAACACUUUUAACCAAAAAACCUGAACUCAGGGUCCACUUACUAUCUUUUUUCCAAGGCUUUUAACCACAUCUCAUGGUCUUCCUCAGCAGAUGGAUUCUGCAGAGUUGGCAUGGAGAUGGGAGAGACAAGGAUUAUGAUCGCCACCACAAAAUACAACCAUCUGUUAUGACGCGACUCAGUGAUGAUGCCUGAGGAGGGCCGUGACAUAAGGUCGAAAGCUCUGAAAACCGCUAGUAUAAGUGGACCCUGAGUUUUUUUGCUUUUUCUCAAAUCGUAGUGAUUUCUUUACAUUACUGCAGACCAUCAGUUUUUGGAUUGAUUACCUUUUUGCGUGAAAAUCUACCUCCAGAGAUGUGAAAAUGUGCAUUUUUGCAUCUAAGAUAAUUAAUCACAGUGCCUUGUUUUAGUCCAAACAUGGCUGGACGAUACGAUACCAUCAAAUUCAAUUAAUUUGGAUUUUUGUUUUAGCACAGUGUGUACAGUACACUGUGUAAAUCAUGCACGAAAUUUCAUAUCUAUACAGGAUAGCCUGUACUUUUUAAAUACUGACAGCUUUGCAAGAGGUGCAGUGCUUUUGUUGUUGUUGCUCGAGUGUUUUGCAUAUGUGUGUCUAAAAUAAUAGACGUGUUGUGUUUUAGUGUUUUUUCAUUGUGCAGAAAAAAUUGGGAAUAGUCUCCCAAGUGUGGCGGGAAAAAAACACAAUUAAAUUUUGUUAUAUAUAUAUAUGUCACUGUUAUUAUCGCGUGGCAGUGCAGUCAUGAGUUUGGUGCGUCCAAAGACUCCUCAGCACGUUGACAUUUGGGAGUCAGCUGCUGAAUGAAAAGAAACUUUACGUUAUCAAAUUCAAAUGGUCCUGGCUUAUCGUUUGUGUUCUGGCUGUGAUGUAUCUCAUUCAUUCAAAGCUGAAGUCGUGUAUUCAUUCUCAGAUGUCCGAGCCUCCCUGAACUCACCAUCAAGGAGAGUUUUCCAAAUCUCCCGGGCUUCGUUACCACACGACGACAACGCAACUCGAGAAACAUGAAGGUGAGUAAAUAUUCACUGGGAUUAAUUAGCAAGGUUACUUUUUGUAGUUUUUAAUUUUCCUGCCGUUGACUUUCACUUCACAUGAGACGUUUAACACCAGGACUUCUGACUUUUUAUAAUUACCUUUAAUAACUGUUGUUUUUUUGCAUUAAAGAGGUCCGAAACCUGAGUCAAUACAAAAUCAUAUUUUAUGGAAUAUGGUCAGCAGUAAUAUAAAGUGUGCCAUUUGUAGCUAAAACAUGCAGAACCACCAGUACGGCUCUUUAUAGGUUAGUCUUGGCAGCAGUUGAGAGAUGAUAUUCAGGCUUGAGUAUCUCUCUACCGUUUUUGAAACAUUUCCAGACCUUUUUUUUUUGAAGUCAAACCUUUUCCAAAUCUAAAAAUGAUCACAUUCAUUUUCCAGACAUUUUCAAAGUUUACCAAACCUGCACAGCAACAUGUUGAAGCAACACGGGCAGUCAGCUCUGUCAGCCGUUUGCGUUGUUUUCCACCAGUACUUUAGGUCCAUGCAGCUCAUUGUUUUAUUUACAGGUGUUUUGUUGCUGUUGCUGGCAGUGCUGCUCAUCUCCACUGCCUCAAACUGUUGCCUGUGUAUUUUACUGUUAACCUUUGACCUCUGCAGUUGUUUGGUUUGUCUCUUGUCAGUUUCAGGACGAGUGUCCAAACAGAAGAAACGGACAGAGUAAAAAAAGUGUUCUUGACCACUGGCACACACUGGGAGGUAAACGUGAAACAGGAAACAGCUGAUUCCCUUCACAGUCGGGUAUUUUUAGACCAUCU